AAUUGAAGGUCAUUCCUAUUCGUAUUAAUUCGAUAACCGAUGAAUUGCCAACAGUACUAAAGUCUGUCCGAUACAUAGAUGCAGAAAAAGAAGAAGAUGUUGCAGCAAGAAUAAAUGAAGUAUACAAUAAUCCUGCUGUAAUGAAAAUGCAAAGCGUAGAGCGAACAGCUUGUGAAAACGGACAAAAUGGUGCAAGUAUAUGGAUGUUGGAGGCAAAACUUAAGAAACAUUGUGGAUUCUUGUAUACUUGUAAUUUUCCAGCACUUACUGAGGAAAAUAAAGUAUCUCUUAACUCCCACGGUACAAA